AUGGAGGAACUGCCCGGAGUAAUCUGAACAGUUGCUGAGUCGAGGAGGAGCAGGAGAGAAGUAGCUUGACCCAUCUGUAACUUGCAUCAUUCUAUUUCUGUAUAGGUACGCAACAAGUCCAAUGAAGGGCUCUACCAGUG